GGGUGAGUAACACGUAGGGAACCUGCCCGCGCACCGGGAAUACGCUCUGGAAACGGAGAACAAAUCCCGAUGUACAGGAAGGAGGCAUCUUCUUUCUGUGAAACAUCCUUUAGGGGAUGGGGCGCGGAUGGACCUGCGGUGCAUUAGUUGGUUGGUGGGGUAAAGGCCCACCAAGACGAUGAUGCAUAGCCGGCCUGAGAGGGCGGACGGCCACAUUGGGACUGAGACACGGCCCAGACUCCUGCGGGAGGCAGCAGUAGGGAAUUUUCGUCAAUGGGCGCAAGCCUGAACGAGCGAUGCCGCGUGAGUGAAGAAGGCCUUCGGGUCGUAAAGCUCUGUUGCGGGGGAAAAAAGGCAGCAUCAGGAAAUGGGUGCUGACUGAUGGUGCCCCGCCAGAAAGUCACGGCUAACUACGUGCCAGCAGCCGCGGUAAUACGUAGGUGGCGAGCGUUAUUCGGAAUGAUUGGGCGUAAAGGGUGCGCAGGCGGUCCUGCAAGUCUGGAGUGAAACGCAUGAGCUCAACUCAUGCAUGGCUUUGGAAACUGUAGGACUGGAGAGCAGGAGAGGGCGGUGGAACUCCAUGUGUAGCGGUAAAAUGCGUAGAUAUAUGGAAGAACACCAGUGGCGAAGGCGGCCGCCUGGCCUGUUGCUGACGCUGAGGCACGAAAGCGUGGGGAGCAAAUAGGAUUAGAUACCUUAGUAGUCCACGCCGUAAACGAAG
rnacentral:rRNA from 1 species